rnacentral:lncRNA from 1 species
CUUUAAGUGUUCAUGAGUUGAUGGGAUCUUUUGAAGCUUAUGAGCAAAGAUUGUUUAGACACAAAAACUCAUCAUUAGAAAGUGCCUUUCAAGUUAAGCUCAAGGUGUUUAAUAAAAAUCCUCAAAGAGAACCAUUUAAUCAUGCAUAAGUUAAAGGAGAGUUACUUAGAGGUAAAAAUCAAAAUAGAGGAAGAGAAAGAAAUAUAAGAGGAA